rnacentral:rRNA from 1 species
GAUGAACGCUGGCGGCGUGCCUAAUACAUGCAAGUCGAGCGAACGGACGAGAAGCUUGCUUCUCUGAUGUUAGCGGCGGACGGGUGAGUAACACGUGGAUAACCUACCUAUAAGACUGGGAUAACUUCGGGAAACCGGAGCUAAUACCGGAUAAUAUUUUGAACCGCAUGGUUCAAAAGUGAAAGACGGUCUUGCUGUCACUUAUAGAUGGAUCCGCGCUGCAUUAGCUAGUUGGUAAGGUAACGGCUUACCAAGGCAACGAUGCAUAGCCGACCUGAGAGGGUGAUCGGCCACACUGGAACUGAGACACGGUCCAGACUCCUACGGGAGGCAGCAGUAGGGAAUCUUCCGCAAUGGGCGAAAGCCUGACGGAGCAACGCCGCGUGAGUGAUGAAGGUCUUCGGAUCGUAAAACUCUGUUAUUAGGGAAGAACAUAUGUGUAAGUAACUGUGCACAUCUUGACGGUACCUAAUCAGAAAGCCACGGCUAACUACGUGCCAGCAGCCGCGGUAAUACGUAGGUGGCAAGCGUUAUCCGGAAUUAUUGGGCGUAAAGCGCGCGUANGCGGUUUUUUAAGUCUGAUGUGAAAGCCCACGGGCUCAACCGUGGAGGGUCAUUGGAAACUGGAAAACUUGAGUGCAGAAGAGGAAAGGUGGAAUUCCAUGUGUAGCGGUGAAAUGCGCAGAGAUAUGGAGGAACACCAGUGCCGAAGGCGACUUUCUGGUCUGUAACUGACGCUGAUGUGCGAAAGCGUGGGGAUCAACCAGGAUUAGAUACCCUGGUAGUCCACGCCGUAAACGAUGAGUGCUAAGUGUUAGGGGGUUUCCGCCCCUUAGUGCUGCAGCUAACGCAUUAAGCACUCCGCCUGGGGAGUACGACCGCAAGGUUGAAACUCAAAGGAAUUGACGGGGACCCGCACAAGCGGUGGAGCAUGUGGUUUAAUUCGAAGCAACGCGAAGAACCUUACCAAAUCUUGACAUCCUUUGACAACUCUAGAGAUAGAGCCUUCCCCUUCGGGGGACAAAGUGACAGGUGGUGCAUGGUUGUCGUCAGCUCGUGUCGUGAGAUGUUGGGUUAAGUCCCGCAACGAGCGCAACCCUUAAGCUUAGUUGCCAUCAUUAAGUUGGGCACUCUAAGUUGACUGCCGGUGACAAACCGGAGGAAGGUGGGGAUGACGUCAAGUCAUCAUGCCCCUUAUGAUUUGGGCUACACACGUGCUACAAUGGACAAUACAAAGGGCAGCGAAACCGCGAGGUCAAGCAAAUCCCAUAAAGUUGUUCUCAGUUCGGAUUGUAGUCUGCAACUCGACUACAUGAAGCUGGAAUCGCUAGUAAUCGUAGAUCAGCAUGCUACGGUGAAUACGUUCCCGGGUCU